CCCAACUAUCCCUAUUAAUCAUUACGUCAAUCCUAGAAACCAACAAAAUAGGAUCGAACGUCCUAUUUCAUUAUUCCAUGCUAAUGUAUUCAAGCGUUAGCCUGCUUUAAACACUCUAAUUUUUUCAAAGUAACAGUCCAGUUUCCCCGCAACACCAAAUUAAUGGCAUUACGGUUCAUCAGGAAGGAGGAAUCAGUGAGACCAGUACAUACCAGUGGCACGACCAACCUACUGACCCCGAAAUUCAACUA
rnacentral:rRNA from 1 species